ACACGCGCACACACACAAAAAAGGGGAACAGACGGGGAUUUUCUGGGCAGGAAACAAAACAAAAGAAACGAAAAGGGACGAGCAAAAAAACAGAGAGAGAGAGAGAUGAGCAAGCAAAAAUCACAAAAAUCUUGUUCUUCUUCUUCUUCUUCACCUUUUUCCUACACCUUAUACUGCCAUGGAAAUGCAGCCCCAGUAGCUCCACAAUACACCAACAAAACAGUCUACUUCCACCACUAAAAAAUCAGUGGAAGCUCUCAUCUUCAUUCACCACAUAAACCUGCCGGAAAACUCCAUGAAAGAGACUUGAAACUUCAUGAAAACCAGCAAAACAGAGCUUCUUCCUCAACCAAAAAGAACAUUAGCUCUCAUCCAUGUGAAGCCACUGAAAACCACCUUAAAUCACCCCAAACCAUCCCCUAUUUACUACUGAAGCCCAGCUUCAAAACACAGCAAAAGCUGCUGCCAAGGUCACCCGAAAAAGAAAAAAAUCCGUUUGAGCUCAAGUUCGAAGCAUUCUUGUCCAAGUUCGUCGUUUGAGGUUCGAGUUCUCAGUCGAGGUUCCAUCAUUGGCGAGGUGUACGAUCUGAGAUUAGUGAGCUUUUUGGGCAGGUUCUUCGCUUCAGGUCGAGUUCUCCAUUUUUUUGGACUGUCGUCUGAUUUUAUGUAAGUUGGUUUGGAGUUUUCGGCUAAAUAAAGGUUCCCUUUUAUUCUUUAAUAUGCUUCUUAGUUCAUGGUAUCUGUUGCAAUUUUGUUUGUCUUAUGAAAGUUAGAUGAAUAUUCUUAUUAGUACUUGAUUACAACAUGCCUAAAUCAUGAAAUCGCUUGAGAAUUUCUAUGGGGUCGAUGUAUAUUUUAGUGUUAUGAAUUUGGAAUCAAUGUGUACUGAUAGGAAGGUGUUGUUUCAUUUAUUAAAUUUGAUAUAAAACUAAUUGAAAUGUGUUAAGGAAAAUAAAUAACGUUUGUAAACAGAGAUUGAAAAGCAAGGUUUGGACUUAGCGCAAAGAAUUUGGGGCAUUGGAUGGAUUCACAUUUAAGAAGGAAUGAGUUAUUAUGAUUAUUGGGCCAUCUGAUACUUGGCAAAGUAGCAGGUAAGGAAUCCCAACGUGGUAAAUCCAUAUACUAAGACCAUUUUCGUAAAUAAUAAUUUAUCUUCUCAUACCAAAAUAUUUCUAACACGAUAGCAUACUUUAAGCACACUCUUAAUUAAUUAAAUUAUCGUGAUUAUGUAUACGUUCGCGAGAUAUAAUUAUGAUUUCCAUCAUUAAAACCAAAGUAUGUGUUCGUGCAACUUUGGAGAAAACAAUCUUAAUAAAAAUAAAAUAUUAUUGAUUGUGUGCACGUUCGUGUGAUACGAGUACAAUUUAAAAAUAAAUAUUCGUAUAAAAUGCUUUAGGUGCGACUUAAUCUAUCAUCGUGAUUGUGUAUAAGUUCGCGUGACAUAAUUAUAAUUUUUAAAAUAAAUCAAGGUAUGCGUUCGCACAACUUUGGGUCAAACAAUCUUAAUAAUAAUAAAGUGUUAUUAGUUGUGUACACGUACGCGUGAUAUGACUUUGACACACCAAACAAAACGAGUACACGUACACAUGACUCGUUUUGAGAUAAUUCCAUAAUUCAAUAAUCAAACAAUUAAAAGCGGUUAAAAGGGUAAAGGCACAUAGGUUUAAAAAUAAGUAAUUAAAAUAAUUUAAUUAAGCCAGGUAUGAUUAAAGCGACCGUGCUAAAACCACAGAAAUUAGGAGUGCCUAACACCUUCUCCCGGGUUAAUAGAAUCCCUUACCUGGUCUUCUGGUUUAGCAGACUUUAAAACAGAGUCAAAUUUCUUCGAUUUGAGAUUUAAAAUAAACCGGUGACUUGGGACACCAUAAAGUAUUCCAAGUGGAGACUCUGAAAAAAUAAAUAAUCCCAUUUCGAUUAAUAUCACUUUAAUUGAAAAAACUCUCUUAUGUCCCUUUCGGGUAAAAAGGAGGUGUGACAGCUCAGGCGACUCUACUGGGGAUCGAACCUAGAAUCUCUGGUUCAGGGUUGAAGAAUUCGAGCUUGUUAUUGUGAUUUUUACUUGGCUUUAUUUAUUGUUGAUAUUACUGUAUUUUGUGGGUCUAAUAUGCUAAUUGCCGCUUAUUUACCGCUUUGAUAUUGUUUGAAUUGUAUUAAAUUGUCUUCUUACGCCUUCCUUCUGAGUCUUCUAAAAAAUAGUGCACACGUACGCGUGGCCUAAUUUUCUGUUAAAGGUCGUACCAAAUAGAGCGAGGAUGGAUCAGCCACUAGGCCAGGUAGACUUUUGUGCUCCAAGUACGUCGCUCCCACCUAGGCUCAAGUUGUCCGCUUGGGUAAGCCAGGUCUAGAACACAAUUCCAGGUUUAAACCUAGAAUAACAUAACCUCAUACCGAAUCCCUAGUAGGAACAUUUGUUUGCAUCACGUGCAUUUGACUUUGAAGACUCAACACAGGAGUUGGGUCCGUCUAAGACAGGUGUACCCGAAAUGAAAGACCAUCCUGAUGCAUCUUACGUGCUAUUUGUAAAUUUAUUUGUUUCGGUUUGUAUAUUGACCGGCUAAGGAAAAAAAUAGCAGAAAACCAAGAGUGAGGUAGGAUAGAGAAUUCACCCGGUUCUGAAAAUCCCGAUAUUUGAAAAAAUGCCUCGAAACUCUGCCAAAAUUUUUGGAAAAAAAAAGAGGAAAAGAAAAUGUAUUUCAAAGAAUGAAAGUGAGUCAAUAUCAUGUUUUUUCCAAUUUUGUCAAAACUGACCUAACUACACGGAUCCGAUUCUCACCUGAUGUGAGAUACAUAGGCAAACCUCAUCGGUUCUGGCCCACAAUUUUCAAAAUAAAUCCAAAAAUAUUUUUUCUUUACUUACUUCUUUAGAAAGUCUUUCUUUUAGAUCCCAAUUUUUAAAAAUACAAAAAUAUUUUCUUUUAAUUUCUUCUCAAAAUCCAAAAAUAUUUUCAUUCUUCUUUCAAAAUUUGAAAAGAAAAUUCUAGAUUCAAAAAUAUUUCCUUUUUCUUUAGAAGCAUUUCAUUCAUAAAUUCAAAAUAAAAUUUCAAAAAAUCCAAAAAUAUUUUCUUUCUUCUUUAAAAGUUUUUCUUUCGAAAAUUCAAAAAAAAUAUUUUCUUUCUUCUUUAAAAGUCUUUCUUUUCAAAAAUUUUAAAAAGAAAACAACAAACAAACAAAUCAAAAUCAAAAAAUAUUUUGUUUCUUCUUUUCAAGUCUUUCUUUCGAAAAAAGUCCAAAAUCCAAAAAAAGAGUUAGUUUAUUUACUUUCUUCCUAAUCUUUCCGAACUACGCAAAGAUAUGAUUCAUGCGGCGUCAUGAUACGUAGGCAACCUACAUCAGGUUCGAUCGAAUGGUUUAAAAGAAAAAAAGAAACAAAAGAAAAGAGAGAGAAUAAAGAAAGAAAAAGAAGAAGNNNNNNNNNNNNNNNNNNNNNNNNNAUGGGAUGACAUGGCCUGGGCCUUUGUCAAACAGUUCUAAUAAAACAUCGACAUUGCACCAGACCACAAUUCCCUUUCAAACCUGAAGAAGAAACCAAUUGAAAGUUUCAGGAAAUAUGCCACUUAAUGGAGAGAGCAAGCGACUAGAGUUAAGCCACCCAUGGAUGACCACGAGCUAAUCACUAUAUUCCUUCAGGCGGAAGAGCCAGAUUACUUUCAAAACAUGAUGUCCGUAGUUGGCAAAUCCUUCUCGGAAGCAAUCAAAAUGGGAGAAAUGGUAGAGAUUGGCGUUAAUACAGGUAGAAUUAUAAGUCAAGCAGCUCUCAAAGCUGCAACUCAGUCUGUCCAAAUUGAAUCUGGUAAUUUUAGUGAAACGAAUGAUAAGGUUGAAGAAAUCAUGAUGACAUUAGGGUUGAGAAGAGGUCCUAGGAGAAUAGCUCGAAGGUAUGACCAGCCUCGUCUAUAUUUUGAUGAUUCCCUUGAGCACUACUAUCCACCUCAGAACCCACAAUACUCUAUUGCUCCACCCCAGUAUGUUGUCCAGCCACCAAGACACCCCAUAAGGCGAGCACCAGCACCGCAAAAUCUUCACCAGCCUCUAUAAAAUUUUCAAGUGCCCUAUAACCUACAUCCAAGCCAGGGGUAUAGAGGGGAACAAAGGUUGAAAGAUAAUUUUACCCCAAUAGGAGAGUCCUAUGCAAGAUUAUUUGAGAAGUUAAAGCAUUAUGACAUGAUUGCACCCAUUCCUCCAAAUCAUGUGGACCCACGUGAAAUAAGCUUUGACUCUUCUAAAAGGUGUAAAUACCAUUCCAAUGCCCAUGGGCUAAAUGUCAAGCUUAUCAAUUGAAAAGUCAUUCCCUCCUCACUAGGAAGGAAUCUUGGUAGCUUGUUUUGAUUUUUUUCUAUUAUCUGGGUUAUUUCAGGGUUGUGAUCCAGAUUUUAUUUGUUUUAUUGAGUCAAACCCUUCUAUCCUUCCAUUCUGUUUGUGUGAGUCUUGUCCGUUUGUUCUAUUGCUAUUUUCAUCAUCCGGGUUAUUUUAGGGUUGUAACUCGGAUCGUAGGUUGUUUGUCUUGUUGUUUACUCAAUGAAAUACAGUUUGUACUUUUGUGUCAUUCCGUGCUUAGUUCUUUUCCGCUAGUUUUAGUGAUAUGACAUGCGUGCGAAAAUUUUGGCCAGAUUUUAGAAAACUGAUUUAGUCUUGAAUUGGAUAAUUGAGAACAAGACACUUUUGAGGAUGAAAAAGAGUUGAAAUACCUUGGAAUUAAGACCGAGUAAAAUUCAAGUGGUACUAUAAUAGUCAUACUCAUGGAGGUUAAGGAUAUUUACCUUCAUAGUCAUUGUGAAGAUCGGUUUGAGGAAGAAUCAAUUGAAGUAUAUUGGAAAGUUUGUCAUUAAGUGAUGGAAGUGUCUUGUGACCACGACACACCAAGAAGACAGACAUGUUCGUCAAUGUCGUGAUCGCGAAAAGAUACUAUGUUUGACAUUCUCGAGGCUGAGAGGCCCUUUUUUCUGCUACCCAAAUACUUUAUAUCCUUUAUUACCCCUUUUGAGCCUGUGUUAUUUUCUUUGACAAAUCUCUUUUGGAAUCAAGUUUAGAGUUAAAAGUCUAAUAAAAAAUAAAAAUGGAAAAAUGAUAAAAAAAAAGUCCAUACCCCAAGAGUACAAACUGAGGCAGCUUUUAGAAAAUUCAAGUGAAAAAAUGAAGAAGAAAAUAAUUGUCUGUAAUGAUCUGGCCGGUCGUUUCAUGAGUUACCGCUCUUUUUCCCCCAUUUCUACUUCUUUAUGUCUUGUUCAGCUGUAUUAUGUGGUAUUGGGGUGGUUGUUCAGCUGUAUUAUGUGGUAUUAAAGAAUGAGACACUUCGUCUCUUUUGAGUAAGCUUAAGUUGGAAAAGUCAACCGGAUGUUAACUUAUGUGAACAAGGUCUCGAAUGUGAAUUCCGAUGGUUCGGAUAGCCUCUUUAGGUGAUUUGGGAGUUAGGUUCGUGAUCAGAAUGUAUUUUGGAGGUCAGUGGUAGAUUCAGGCUUGAAUUGGGGAAAUUAGAAUUUUGGCGUUUUCAGGUUGGUAGUGGAAAUUUUGAUAUUGGGGUCGGAAUGGAAUUCCAGAAAUUGGAUAGGUCCGUUGUGUAAUUUUGUGAUAUGUGUGCAAAAUUUCAGGUUAUUCGGGCGAGGUUUGAUAGACUUUUUGAUCGAAAGCGGAAUUUGGAAGUUUUGGAAUUCUUAGGCUUGAAUCCGAGGGGAUCAGAUGUUUUAAUAUUGUUUUGAGCAUUCCGAAGGUUGGAAUAUGUUUGAAUGAUGUUAUGGGAUGUGUUGGCAUGUUUAGUUGAGGUCCCAAGGGCCUCGGGUGAGUUUUGGGUGGUUAACGGACCAAUUCUUGGUUUUGGGGAGUUGCAGAUUUUCUGGUUUUUAUUGCAGAGGAAAUUGUUCUUUGCGUUCGUGAAGAAGCGCUGGACCUAGGGGAGAAAAUGUUCUUCGCGUUCACGAGCCUGGGGUCACAUUCGUGUAGGUUUGGAUUCCAUUGAAUCGCGAAUGCGUGAGAGGAGUCCCGUUCGCGUAGGGUAAUUGGAGCAGCUGGGACCCCAUGAGUUUUGUGCUUUGCAUUCGCGUAGGUAAGGUCGCGUUCGCGAAGGCUUGGGCAGUUGAAGCUUCGCGUUUGCGUGAAGGGAGCGGCGUUCAUGAAAGAGGAAUAUUUGGCCAGUGAGGUUUUGUGCUUAGCGAACACGAGGCUUUGAGCGCGUUCGUGAAAAAGGAAUUAAUGUCUAGGCAGAAUGUUUAAAUAGUUUCCUUCGCGAUUCUUGGUCCAUUUUCUCCAUUGUUGAACGGUUUGAAGCUUUUUGAGAGGGAUUGUAGAGGGAAUCGAAGGGAAACACUUGGAGCUAAGAAUUUGGAACUCAAUACUCGAUUCUCUGGUGAUUUCUAUCUAAUUAGACAUGAAAUUCGUGGGAUUUAAAGCCUAAAAUUGGGGAAUUAGGGCUUGAAAUUGGAGACUUUGAUUUAAGGAUUUGAGGGGUCAUUAGUGGUCGAAUUUUGAUGUAAUUGGUAUGUAUGAACUCAUGAGAGUUCAAGGAUUCUAGUUUUGUAAUUUUUAUCGGAAUCCGAGACGUGGGCCCGGGGGUCGGGUUUGGCCAAUUUUGGGAUUUUUGAUGUAAUUCGAUUAUUUUCGCUUGGGAUUUGUUCAUUUAGUGCAUAUUAAUAGUAUGAUUCUAAUUUUGGUUAGAUUUGGAGAAUUGGAGGACGAUUCGAGGAGCAAAGGCAUCGCGGGCUAGAGUUUGGACCGGAUUAAUGUAAGUAAUGAUUGUAAAUGUUGUCUUGAGGGUAUGAAACUCCGGAUUUCACAUCGUUGUGCUACUUUGAGGUAACACACACGUCAGAUGACGAGCGUGGGGUUGUGCACCGUUGGGGAUUAUGACUUGUUCCGUCCCGUACGACUAUUAAGUUGCGUAUUUGAUUGAAGACUGUUUGAAAUCAUUGUGUUUUGGAAAGUAUUACUAUGUUUUGGGCUAAAUGCCAUAUUUGGGCCUCAUGACAACUGUUUGGACCCUUAGGGGAUUUUUUUACUACUAUUCCUCACUAUUUUGACCUCAUAUUUGUACUCAGUGAUGUUGUAUUCUACUGUUUUCAUACCUCAGCCGUAUUUACUCCGUUUUGACAUUUUAAAUGAUGUGUUGGGCUGAGCAUCAUGAUUUACUGUUGCCCGAGUGGCUUGAGAGGUUUCUAACUGAGUGAGGCCGAGGGCCUGUGUUGUGAGGAUUGUUAUGGAAUUGGGCUAUGCACCGCAACAUGUGUACUGAUUUGUGAUAUAUGAGAGGCCGAGGGCCUGAUUUGUUAUGCCACGAGAUGGCUUGUGAUAGCGCUUGGGCUGUAGGAGCCCUUCUGGAAUCUGAACACCCCCAGUGAGCGCGGGUACCCAGUUUGAGAGAUGUGAUAUUGCCCGAGGGGCUGAUGUUGUUUCAUGUUAUUGCCCGAGGGGCUGAUGUUGUUUCAUGUUAUUGCCCGAGGGGCUGAUGUUGUUUCAUGUUGUUGCCCGAGGGGCUGAUUAUGAGUGAUUAUGAGGUAGCCGGGGGGCUGGUUUCUGUUGAUAUUUUGCCCGAGGGGCGGUUGUGGUAUAUGUUUUGCCCAAGGGACUGUUUACGCUUUCUACCCUUUUACUCACUGUUUUCAUCACUCGUUUGAAACUAUUGAAAGAUGUUGUAAAAAUGUUUUACUGAGCUGAGUUAUUUUUACGAGUUUUGUUGAUUUACUGUAUUAAUUCUGCAUAUAUACUAUUUUUUUGUGGUGCUAUGACGUGAAAUUACCUGUUUCUUACUACUCAGGUGCUUUUACUUUUAUUACUUACUAAGUUGGCGUACUCACAUUACUCCCUGCACCUUGUGUGUAGAUACAGGAGUCUCGGGGCGCCAUAGUGAGUGCUGAUAAGUCUUCCUGCCGGUCUCCGAAGUUGACUAGGUAGCUGCUUGGUGUUCGCAGCCCAGUGCUUCUCUUUCAUAUCUUAUUCAGAUUGUCGUAGUAUUUUAUUUUUGGACUAUGCUGUAUUUUCUUAUUCCUAGACGAGUUGUAGUUGCUCAUGAUUGGUGACACCCUGAUGUCGGGCUUGUGUUAUAUUUUUGCACUGCUUAUUUUAACUUAUAUUAUGAAAUUUUAGCGAAAGAAUGUCUUAAAAUGACUUAUUAUAAAUUUCUGGUUGGUUUUAGGGUUUGGUCGACUGGCCUAGUUUCACGUUAGGUGCCAUCAUGACCGGGUCAGUGUUUGGGUCGUUACAAAUUGGUAUCGGAGCCUAGAUUACAUAGGUCUCACAAGUCAUGAGCAGGUUUAGUAGAGUCUCGCGGAUCGGUACAUAGACAUCUGUACUUAUCCUCAGGAUGCUGUAGAACCUUUAGGAAAACUUAAUAUUUUUGAAUUCCUGUCGUGCAAAUCUGUUGAUUCUAGUACUAAACUUCUGUUAUUCUAUUCUCUCACAAAUAGUGAGGACACGUGCUACUGGACAGGACGGACAACCGCCAGUACCACAAGCUAGGGCUACCAGAGGCCGAUGACGUGGUCGAGGCCAUGAUAAGGGUAGGGGUAGGGGUGUAGCCCGCAUAGCAGCUAGGGAAUCACCUGCAAAUCCACCAAUCGCCCUAGUUCAUGAUCAAGUCCCAGUUGUGGGCGCUCCAGCAACACCAACUCAGGCACCGAUUGUGCCCAUUGUUAUUCCAGGCCUUCAGGAGGCCCUGGCCUAGAUUCUAUUGGUGUGCACUAGCCUAGCUCAAGCGGUCUUAGUUACUACAGCCACAGCUACUUCUCAGGCCGAGGGAGGAACUCAGACCCCCACCGCUUGCACACCUGAGCAGGUCGUGCAGGGACUUCAGACACCGAGGGAACCUCCAGCCCAGCCGGUUGCAGCUGCUCAGGACUAUGUAGCUCCUAUUAUGCCAGAGGACCAGCAGCACAGAUUGGAGAGGUUUGGUAGACUUCAGCCUCCGACUUUUAGUGGUGCAGAGGGCGGUGAUGCCCAAGGUUUCUUGGACAAAUGUCAGAGGAUGCUUCGGACCGUAGAUAUUCUGGGGACCAGCGUGGUCUCAUUCACUACUUUCUAGUUCUUCGGGACUGCACUUAAUUGGUGGGAGGUUUACGAGAGGUGUAGGCCGGUUGGCGCAGCGCCCCUUUCUUGGUGGCAGUUCUCCGUUCUCUUUCUAGAGAAGUUUGUACCUGAGUCUUGCCGAGAAGAACUGCGCAGACAGUUUGAGCGGCUUCGUCAGGGAGAUAGAUCUGUUACACAGUAUGAGAUGUGGUUUUUUGAGUUGGCUCGUCAUGCGGUCUGGUUGGUUCCCACAAAUCGAGAGAGGAUCAGGAGCUUUAUAGAUGGCAUCGGCUUUUAGCUUCGGUUGCUUAUAACCAGAGAGAGAUUAUCUGGUGCUACUUUUGAUGAGGUUGUUGACAUAGCUCGACAGAUUAAGAUGGUUCGUGGUCAGGAGAGGAUUUAGAGGGAGGCUAUGAGGCCUCGUGGUUAGGGUGGAUUUAGUGGUACUCCUCAUGGGGGUCAGUUUCAACACGAUAGAGGCCAUCUAUUCAGGCAUGCUCAGUCAACUCGCCCAGGUUAUCAUGGGGCAUAAUCGGGCCAUGGUUCUCACUGUUCUCAUCAGGGCCAUUCAUCACUCAGUGCCCUUCCAGCCUAGAGUUCAUCCCGUGCUCCAUUAGUUCAGGGCUCUUCUAUGCUAGGUUCUUCUGCUAGUCAUCCCAGUGCUAAGGGUUCCCUUUAGUCCCUGUCUCCAGCACACGGGGGUUUUUAUGAGUGUGGAGAGUUGGGUCACAUGUGAAGGCAGUGUCCUCGUUGUCUUAGUAAUUCAUCUCAGUAGAGGAGUCAGCUAUCGACUUCAGCACCAGUUGCUUCACCGCCCACCCACCCAGCUAGGGGUAGAGGACAGUCAGCUUGGGGUCGCCCCAGAGGGGAGGUCGAUCAGGUAGUGGUCACGGCCAUUUCUAUGUAGUCCCAGCUAGACCCGAUGCUAUUGCUUCAGAUGCUGUGAUUACAUAUAUUGUCUUAGUUUGCCACAAAGAUGCCUCUAUGUUAUUUGAUCCCAGUUCUACUUUUUCAUAUGAGUCAUUAUAUUUUUCUCGUUAUUUGGAUAUGCCCCGUGAGUCUCUUAUUUCAUCUGUUCGUGUAUCUACUCCGGUAGGCGAUACUAUUAUUGUGGACCGCGUAUAUCGGUCGUGUAUGGUGACUAUUGGGGGUUUGGAGACCCGAGUGGACCUUCUAUUGCUUUGUAUGGUGGACUUUGAUGUGAUAUUAGGCAUGGAUUGGCUAUCUCCAUGUCAUGCUAUUUUGGAUUGUCAUGCUAAGACAGUGAUGUUGGCUAUGCCGGGUGUGCCACGGAUUGAGUGGCGAGGUUCGACUGAUUUUGUUCCCAGUAGGGUGAUUUCAUUUUUGAAGGCCCAGUGGAUGGUUAGGAAAGGUUGUCUUUCAUACUCAGCUUUUGUGAGGGAUAUUAGUACAGAGGCUCCUACCAUUGAUUCGGUCCCGGUAGUGAGGGACUUUCCGGAUGUGUUUCCUGCAGACUUGCCGGGCAUGCCACCAGACAGAGAUAUUGAUUUUGGUAUUGAUCUAGUGCUGGGCACGCAGCCCAUUUCUACUCCACUGUAUGGCACCAGUGGAGUUGAAGGAGUAGCUCCAGGAACUCCUUGAUAAGGGGUUUAUUCGGCAUAGUGUGUCGCAUUGUUGUGCGCCUGUUCUAUUUGUGAAGAAGAAGGAUGGCACGAUGAGGAUGUGCAUUGACUACAUGCAAUUGAACAAAUUCACAAUCAAUAACAAGUAUCGUUUGCCUCGUAUCGAUGAUUUAUUUGACCAGCUUCAGGGAGUGAAAGUGUUCUCCAAGAUUGAUCUCCAUUCAGGGUAUCACCAAUUGAAGAUAAGGGACUCGUAUAUUCUUAACACAACUUUCAGGACCCGAUAUGGUCAUUAUAAGUUCCUUGUGAUAUCGUUUGAGCUGACUAAUGCCCAAACAACAUUCAUGCAUUUGAUGAACAUCGUGUUUCGGCCUUAUCUCGACUCGUUCGUGAUUGUUUUCAUUGAUAAUAUUUUGGUGUACUCACGUAGUCAGGGAGAUCACGCAGAGCAUUUGAGAGUUGUGUUGCAGCGGUUGAGGGAGGAGAAGAUUUAUGCAAAGUUCUCCAAAUGUGAGUUUUGGCUUAGUUUAGUGGCUUUCUUGGGGCACGUGGUGUCCAGUGAGGGUAUUCAGGUUGAUCCAAAGAAGAUAGAUGUGGUUCAGAGUUGGCCCAGACCGUCCUCAUCCACAGAGAUUCACAACUUUCUUGGUUGGGGGGUUAUUACCAUCGGUUCGUUCAGGGAUUUUCAUCUAUAGCAUCAGCCUUGACCAAAUUAACUCAAAAGGGUGCUCCAUUCAAGCGGUCGGAUGAGUGUGAGGCGAGCUAUUAGAAGCUCAAGACUGCCUUGACCAAAGCUCCAGUGUUAGUUUUGCCAUCAGCUUCAGGUACAUAUACAGUGUAUUGUGAUGCUUCAAGAGUUGGUGUUGGGUGUGUGUUAAUGCAGGAGGGUAGAGUGAUUGCUUAUGCUUCUCGUCAGUUGAAGCCCCACGAGAAGAACUACCCCGUUCAUGAUUUGAAGUUGGCCGCCAUUGUCUACGCAUUGAAGAUUUGGAGGCAUUAUCUCUAUGGUGUGUCUUGUGAGGUGUUUACGGAUCAUCAUAGCCUCCAGCACUUGUUCAAAUAAAAGGAUCUCAAUUUGAGGCCGCAGAGAUGGUUAGAGCUGCUAAAGGACUAUGAUAUUACCAUCUUGUACCAUCUGGGGAAGGCAAAUAUAGUGGCCUAUGCCUUGAGUAGGAAGGCGGUGAAUAUGGGCAGUCUUGCAUUUAUUCUUAUUGGGAGAGACCUCUUACAGUUGAUGUUCAGCUCUUGUCCAAUCGGUUUGUGAGGUUGGAUAUUUCAGAGCCUAGUCAGAUUUUAGCUUGUGUGGGUUCUCGGUCUUCCUUGUUCGAUCGCAUCAGAGAGCGCCAAUAUGAUGAUCCUCAUUUGCUUGUCCUUAAUGACAAUGUUCAGCAUGACGAUGCCAGAGAUGUGACUAUUGGUGAUGAUGGGGUGUUGAGGAUGCAGGGCUGGAUAUGUGCCCCCAAUGUAGAUGGGCUUCGGGAGUUGAUUCCGGAGGAGGCCCAUAGCUCGUGGUAUUCUAUCCAUCCGGGUGCCGCGAAGAUGUAUCAGGAUCUGAGACAGUAUUAUUUGUGGAGGAGAAUGAAGAAGGACAUUGUGGGGUUUGUAGCUCGGUGUCUCAAUUGUCAGCAGGUGAAAUAUGAGCAUUAGAGACCGGAUUGCUUGCUUCAGCAGAUGGAUAUUCCAGAUUGGAAGUGAGAGCGUAUAACCAUGGAUUUUGUAGUUGGACUCCCAUGGACUUUGAAGAAGUUCAAUGCUGUUUGGGUGAUUGUGGAUCGGCUGACCAAGUCCACACACUUCAUUCCUAUGUUUACUACCUAUUCUUCAGAGCGGGUUGCAGAGAUCUAUAUCCGAGAGAUUGUUCACAUGCAUGGUAUCCCAGUUUCCAUUAUUUCAGAUAGAGGCACUCAGUUUACUUCACAGUUUUGGGGGGCCGUGCAGAGAGAGUUGGGUACUCAGUUUGAGUUGAGCACAACUUUUCACCCUCAGACGGACGGGCAGUUCGAGCGCACUAUUUAGAUAUUAGAGGACAUGUUCCGAGCCUGUGUCAUUGAUUUUGGUGGUUCGUGGGAUCGGUUUCUACCGCUUGCAGAGUUUUCAUAUAACAACAAUUAUUAGUAGAGUAUUCAGAUGGCUCCAUAUGAGGCUUUAUAUGGGAGACGGUGUAGAUCUUCAAUUGGUUGGUUUGAGCCGGGUGAGGCUAGGCCUUUGGGUACAAACUUGGUGCAGGAUGCUUUGGACAAGGUGAAGGUGAUCCAGGAGCGGCUUCGUACAACGCAGUCGAGACAAAAGAAUUAUGCGGACAGGAAGGUUCGUGAUGUGUCUUACAUGGUUGGGGAGAAGGUUCUAUUUUAGGUUUCACCCAUGAAGGGUGUUAUGAGAUUUAGGAAGAAGGGUAAAUUGAGUCCUCGGUUUAUUGGGCCUUUUGAUGUACUUCAGAGGAUUGAGGAGGUGACUUAUGAGCUUGCUUUGCCACCUAUCUUGUCGAGUGUGCAUCCAGUAUUUCAUGUUUUUAUAUUCCGGAAGUAUAUUGACGAUCCGUCUUAUAUUUUGGAUUUCAGCACGGUUCAGUUGGACGGUGAUUUGACUUAUGAUGUGGAGCCAGUAGCUAUUUUGGAGGAUCGGGUUCGAAAGUAUAGGUGAAAGUAUAUAGCUUCAAUGAAAGUGCAGUGGAGAGGUCGGCCCGUAGAGGAGGCUACCUGGGAGACCGAGUGAGAUAUGUAGAGUAUAUAUCCUCACCUAUUUGAGGAUUCAGGUAUGUUUCUUGACUUGUUUGAGAAUGACCGUUUGUUUAAGAGGGGGAGGAUGUAACGAUUCGGCCGGUCAUUUCAUGAGUUAUAGCUCCGUUUCCCCCAUUUAUGCUUCUUUAUGCCUUGUUCAGCUGUAUUAUGUGGUAUUGGGGUGGUUGGUUCGGGUUUAGAGUGGUUUUGUAGAGAAUGAGACACUUUGUCUCUUUUGAGAAAGCUUUAGUUGGAAAAGUCAACCGGAUGUUGACUUAUGUGAAAAAGGUCUCGGAUGUGAAUUCCGAUGGUUCGGAUAGCUUCAUUAGGUGAUUUGGGACUUAGUAUCAUUAUCAGAAUGUUUUUGGAGGUCCGUGGUAGAUCAGGCUUGAAUUGGCAAAAUUGGAUUUUGCCGUUUUCUGGUUGGUAGUGGAAAUUUUUAUAUAGGGAUCGGAAUAGAAUUCCAAAAAUUGGAGUAGGUCCGUUGUGUCAUUUUUGACGUGUGUGCAAAAUGUUAUGUCAUUUAUGCGAGGUUUGAUAGACUUUUUGAUCGAAAGCGGAAUUUGGAAGUUUUAGAAUUCUUAGGCUUGAAUCCCAGGGUGAUUUGAUGUUUUGAUGUUGUUUGAUCGUUCCAAAGGUUGGAACAAGUUUGAAUGAUGUUAUGGGAUGUGUUUGCAUGUUUGGUUGUGGUCCCGAGGGAAUCGAGUGAGUUUCGGGUGGUUAACGGACCAAUUCUUGGUUUUGGAGAGUUGCAUAUUUUCUGGUUUUUGAUGCAGAGGAAAUUGUUCUUCGCGUUCGCGAAGAUAGUCCCGCGUUCGCGAAGAAGAGCUGGACCUAGAGGGGAAAAUGUUCUUCGCAUUUGCGAGCCUGGGGUUGUGUUCGCGUAGGUUUGGAUUCUAGUGAAUCGUGAACCCGUAAGAGGAGUCACGUUCGCGUAGGGUAAUUGGAGCAGCUGGGAUCCCAUGAGUUUUAUGCUUCGCGUUCGCGUAGGUAAGGUCGCGUUCGCGAAGUCUUGGACAGUUGAAGCUUUGCAUUCGCGUGAAGGGAGUCGCGUUUGCAAAAGAGGAAUAUUUGGUUAGUGAAUUUUUGUGAUUUGCGAAUGCAAGGCUUUGACCGCGUUCUCGAAAGAAAUUAAUGCCUGGGCAGAAUGUUUAAAUAGUUGCCUUCGCGAUUUUUGGUCCAUUUUCUCCAUUGUUGAACGAUUUGAAACUUUUUGAGUGGGAUUGAAGAGGGAAUCGAAGGGAAAACUUGGAGGUAAGACUACUCAAUACUCGAUUAUAUGGUGAUUUCUACCUAAUUAGACAUGAAAUUAGUGAGAUUUAAAGCCUACAAUUGGGGAAUUAGGGCUUGAAGUUGGAGACUUUGAUGUAAGGAUUUGAGGGGUCGUUUGUGGUUGGAUUUUGAUGUAUUUGAUAUGUAUGAACUCGUGAGAGUGUAAGGAUUCUAGUUUUGUGAUUUUUAUCAAAAUUCGAGAUGUGGGAUUGGUGGUCAGGUUUGGCCAAUUUCGGGAUUUUUGAUGUAAUUCGAUUAUUUUCACUUGGGCUUUGUUCCCUUAGCGCGUAUUAAUGGUAUGAUACUGAUUUUGGUUAGAUUUGGAGCAAUUGGAGGCCGAUUCGAGGGGCAAAGGCAUCUCGGGCUAGAGUUUGUAUUGGAUUGAGGUAAGUAAUGAUUUUAAAUGUUGUCCUGAGGGUAUGAAACCCCGGAUUUCACAUCAUUGUGCUACUUUUAGGUAACGCACACGUUAUAUGACGGACGUGGGGUCGUACAUCAUUGGGGAUUGUGACUUGGUCCGUACCGUACGACUAUUAAGUCACGUAUUUGAUUGAAAACUUUUUGAAGUCAUUGUGUUUUGGAAAGCAUUACUAUGUUUUGGGCUGAAUGCCAUAUUUGGCUCUCGUGCCAACUAUUUUGGACCCUUAGGGGCUUUAUUUUACUACUAUUCCUCACUAUUUUGACCUUAUAUUUGUACUUUGUCAUGCUGUAUUCUACUAUUUUCAUAACUCUGCCAUAUUUACUCCGUUUUGACAUUUUAAAUGAUGUGUUAGGCUGACCAUCAUGUUUUACUGUUGCCCGAGUGGCUUGAGAGGUUUCUGACUGAGUGAGGCUGAGGGCUUGUGUUGUGAGUAUUGUUAUGGGAUCAGGCUGCGCACCACAACAUGUAUAUUGAUUUGUGAUAUAUGAGAGGCCGAGAGCCUGAUUUGUUAUACCACGAGAUGGCUUGUGAUAGCGCUUGGGCUGUUGGAGCCCCUCCGGAGUCUGAACACCCCCAGUAAGCGCGGGUACACAACGUGAGAGAUGUGAUAUUGCCCGAGGGCCUGAUGUUGUUUCAUGUUGUUGCCCGAGGGGCUGAUUACGAGUGAUUGUGAGGUAGCUCGAGGGGCUGGUUUUUGUUGAUAUUUUGCCCAAGGGGAUGUUUAUGCUUUCUACCCUUUUACUCACUAUUUUCAUCACUCGUUUGAAACUAUUGAAAGAUGUUUUAAAAAGGUUUUACUGAACUGAGUUCUAUUUAUGAGUUUUGUUGAUUUACUGUAUUAAUUAUGCACAUAUACUAUUUUGUUGUGGUGCUAUGACGUGAAAUUACCUGUUUCUUACGGCUCAGUUGCUUUUACUUUUAUUACUUACUGAGUUGGCGUACUCACAUUACUCCCCGCACCUUGAACCAGGAGUCUCGGGGUGCGAUAGUGAGUGCUGAUAAGUCUUCCAGCAGGUCUCCGGAGUUGACUAGGUAGCUGCUUGGCGUUCGCAGCCAGUGCUUCUCAUUCCUAUCUUAUUCAGAUUGUCAUAGUAUUUUAUUUUCGGACUAUGUUAUCUUUUCUUAUUCUUAGACGAGUUGUAGUUGCUCAUGACUGGUGACACCCUGAUGUCGGGCUUGUGUUAUAUUUUCGCACUGCUUAUUUUAACUUAUAUUAUGGAAUUUUAGCUAAAGAAUGGCUUAAAAUGACUUAUUAUAAAUUUCUGGUUGGUUUUGGAGUUUGUGUCGGCUGACCUAAUUUCAAUUUAGGUGCCAUCACGACCGGGUCAGUUUUUGGGCCGUGACAUUGUCAAAGGUCCAUGCCCUCAGAAAAUAAAAGUUGGGAUAACUUGUGUUUAAAACAAAAGAAAAAAAAAUAGAAAGAAAGAUGAAAGAAGUUAGUUAGAUCAGAUGUUUGAACUACGUUCGACUUGAUUCCUUUAAAAAAAAGGAUACGUAGGUCCAACCAAAUAAGAGUAAAAAAAAUCCAAAAAAAAAUCCUCAGUAUCUGAAACUGGGGAAAAGAUUUUAUUUUACUUUUGAAAGAGUCGAUUCCAAGAGUUGUAAGUCUACAACCUUUCAUUUUGAGUCUACUUUGAGCCUUCAUGCCAUCCUUUCUUUCCAACCCUAUCCAAAAACCUUCCAAAUAAAUACCUCCCGAUAUGCUUUCAAAGAUGCCAAGAGACACUUGCAAUGAGUAGCAUUUGUCACACGACAUAGAAUACUGUCAAGUUGCUCAAGAAAGCAACAGAAAAAAAGAGAGAAAGAAAAAAUGAGAGAGUCUUGCUAGUGAAAACCUUCACGGGCACUGUAAGUAAGCAGAGAUGAACUAAUGAUAGAGACUUAUUGGUGAAAAUCCCUCGAGGCACCUCUAGUCGAAAAUGAGUCGUGAAGUUGAUGCAAAGGAUUGUCACGAACAAGCCCGACUUCAAAGUCAUAAGAAUGGUAAAAGGAAAGAUUUUGUUAGUUUGAUAGAUUGGCCGUUAAGUCCAAAAUGCAUGUCAUGAUCAUUAAGGCUAGUUAUUGAAAAACAAAAAAAACUCCUCCUUCUGUCCUUCCUGACAGGGGAAUUUCUUGUUAAUACUGUUUCUUUGCAUCAUUGUGCCCUUCACUCUGAGUCAGUCCUUGUCAAAACAAGCAUGAAAAGAUUUCAAAAUUUGCUACCAGCUUUUCAAUUGCACAAAGUAAAUUUGGCCAGCAUACUCCGGUGUUACAGUCAACAUGACUAGAGGAUUCAUGCAAAGGCUUCCCCCAAAAUACUCUUGUCAAUCUUCUUGGCGCAUGCAAAAAUAAGUGAUUCUCUCUGACGGACAAAUUGCUCAAAAGCCGGAAGUCAUUCAAUUUAGCAGAAAAGGUCAACUAAGCAAAGAUCUCCAGUUGAAAUAAGGCUGAUUGAGCCCUAAAUAUAAAUGGUACUGACUGAACACUCAGUGUUGAUGCAGAGGAAAAGUGACAAUUUUUUGAGCAAAAGCCAAGAUGCCCAGGACUCAAGGCCACAAACCGACUACCACUUUCAAAACUGACAAUUUUUUUUGUUUGAAACAGGAUUAAUGCAGUGCAAAGAAAGUGAUUCCAAAAAAAGAGAGGAUGUAAAAAUCAAACAAAAAAGAAAGAAAAAAUAAAAAGAAGAGAAGAGCCGACAAGGGAAGUUUCUCAAAUCUUUGUCUGUUUCUAUCUUGCUCGUGUGCAUAAAUUUUGCCAUUUGCUUGUCACAUUUUGCCUCCUAGGAUAACAAGUCCUAGUCUGAUGGAUUUUCCUCCUAAAAAAAAUCUUAGUCUAAUGAAUUUUUCUCCUAAUAUAAGAAAACCUAGUUUGAUGAAUUUUCUCCUAGGAUCAAAAUCUUAGUUUGAUGAAUCUUUCUCCUAAGAUAGAAAACCUAGUCUGAUGAAUUUUCUCCUACGAUCGAAAUCUUAGUCUGAUGAAUUUUUCUUCUAAGAUAGAAGACCUAGUCUGAUGAACUUUCUCCUAGGAUAGAAAUCUUAGUCUAAUGAAUCUUUCUCCUAAGAUACCAAAAAAAAGAAGAUAGAAAACCUAUUCUGAUGAAUUUUCUCCUAGGAUCGAAAUCUUAGUCUGAUGAAUUUUUCUCCUAAGAUAGAAGACCUAGUCUGAUGAAUCUUUCUCCUAGGAUAGAAAUCUUAGUCUGAUGAAUCUUUCUCCUAAGAUAAUUAAAAAAAGAGACCUAGUAUGAUGAACUUUCUCCUAGGAUCAAAAUCUUAGUCUGAUGAAUCUUUCUUCUAAGAUUAAAACCUAGUCUGCUGAAUUUUCUCAUAGGAUUAAUAAUUUUUAUUUUAAAAGGAAAGUCUGGAUUUGUAAAAAGGGUCAAUUUUUAGUUUUCUUAAGUUAUUAAUCUUUAGUUUUCGUGAAAUCAGGGGCCCCGCCUGGAAAAUAGGGUCAUUUUUUACUUAUUCAAGUUUAGUUUAUAGUUUUCCACAAGCUAAAUCUUAAAUAUAGGAGACACACUUCCUAGUUUGGGUCAUUUAGGUUUUUUUUCAGCAGAUGCAUUUGCAAUUCGAAAUUUAUUGGUUUUACUCACAGGAGACGCACAUCCUAGCUGAGUCUUUAAUUUACUCUCAUCAUUGCACCAUUUAUCAAUAGCAUAUGUGAUUUAUAGUUCUGCUAAUAACUCACAAAUCUUCCAAGUGCAAACUGGGGCAGAAAAGAUUCUUUGUUUUGUCUGUUUUGCUGUAGUAUUAGGCGCCCACCUGGAGGACGAGGGAACUCAUUUUAUAAUUCAUUUCAGAGUCAUUUGAAAUUUCAAGUCAGUAGCAGGCGCCCACCUGGAGAAUGAGAGAAUUCAUUUCAAGUUCCAGCCAGAGACAACAGGAUCCCUCAUGAAGAAUA
rnacentral:lncRNA from 1 species